rnacentral:rRNA from 1 species
UCGCACGAGAAAAUCUGGGUUUCACGCAAGCGGGAUCCGGGUGAGUAAAGUGGCGCACGGGUGAGUAACACGUAGCUAACCUGCCCUUGAGUGUGGGAUAACCUGGGGAAACUCGGGCUAAUACCGCAUAACACCCUGGUGACGAUGUCAUUGGGGCCAAAGGCCCGCAAGGGCCGCUGGAGGAGGGGGCUGCGGCCGAUUAGCUAGUUGGUGAGGUAACGGCCCACCAAGGCGAUGAUCGGUAGCCGGCCUGAGAGGGCGCACGGCCACACUGGCACCGACACACGGGCCAGACUCCUACGGGAGGCGGCAGUGGGGAAUUUUGCACAAUGCCCGAAAGGGUGAUGCAGCAACGCCGCGUGAGGGAUGAAGGCCUUCGGGUCGUAAACCUCUUUCGAUCGGGAAAAACGGCUCCGUGAAGAGCGGAGUCUGAUGGUACCGGAUGAAGAAGCCCCGGCUAACUACGUG